AUAUCGCUCUCCAGCUCCAUGCCGAUGUAAAAAAGUCAGUGUGGCGUUUUCAUGAGCGGAAAUUAUCACUGUUCCAAAAAACAAUUGCUAGUCUCCUGUGAGCUAAUGAUCACCUGAUGGUUCAGACACUU
ensembl:snoRNA ZK643.9 ncRNA